UACCCUGCUUGAUGUUUGGCCUUUUAUGGCUCAGUGGUGUGUGUGUGUGUGUGUUUGGGUUUGACAUGAGAUGGACGAUUUUUGAGCAUCGCUAGGGUUCUACUGUGUUUAUGUGUGUGUCUCCCACUCACACCUGGCAUGGGGUUCUACGUGCCUGUCCUGGGUUCUACGUUUGUGUGUCCGGCUUGCUUUGACAAUGAUAAUGUUCAUACGGGGGUCUGUGUGAUUGGCUUGGGAUAUUGGAAUGGUCAACUAAAUCAUACCCGAUGGACGGCCACACGUUUACUUAAGGGGCUCCAGUAGGCAUGAAGAGCCCUGAGCCGACGCUCCGGAGCGAUAUCACACACUGAGCAGGAAGGAGGGUAUCCAACUCAAGUGUAAAAGGAUGCAAGCGGCGUGUUCAGAUCAGUGACUUCCAACUAGGACUACACCAAUCAGGAUCAAUGGAGGAUGGACACCAAAAGGAAUUCCACAAGGAGAGUCUGACGUUGGAAAGGGACCUAAAUGGAUAUUCAAGAUGACCUUCAGACCUGUAAUGACACGGCUCUUCCUACCUGGCUGGAUUGAUGGAGAGCCCUGUGGAUCUUGUCUUGCUCUCGGUUGCACGUCUUCUCAGGCUGAACUGCAUUUGUUUCGGACAGGACUAGCUGAACGAUUGGUUCCCUUAAAUCAAAACCAAUCCGGGAACUCCAGCUAGUGCGCUCUUCGAGCUGAAGUUGUUCCCUUCAGCUGAGGAGGUAAGGAAACCUUAAUGGGGCUUCAAGGUGUAAAGAGGAGAAUGUUUCAAAGUGUUCCAUGGUACUCUGAUGAAGACCGUUGUUGUGUUCCACUGGCUGAGAGGAAGAACCCACACAUCUUCCUCUUGGCCUUUCUCCUCUGAGAAUCCUGGCGCCAUCUUGAAGGAUAUUCCAGCUCAUGUAACUGAUGUCACGACAGAUUCUCAAACACUUGGUUUCUCCUGAGGGGCGUGUCUAUAGAACUGAAGACUUCAGACAGCACUGUGUCCCAGCAUGCAUCUCUGCUCACUCAGACCACACCCCCAUAUGUAGGAUGUAACACUAGUGAUGGAGAUGUAAAGUUUUAUAAGUAACGAGGGAGCAGAUUAAGGUGAUUAGAACACAAUGGAAUGUCAAGUCUGUAAAUCUUUAAACCAUGAAGAUGGUUGGAUAGUUCAGGAAUUGGGCUUCUUUUUAUUAUGGGCAGUCCUUUCACUCAGAUGCCCACUUCUCACUGGAGCUUUACAUGUGUUGGGUGGCUGGCAUGAUUUGCUGUUGGUGAUGAGGCGGUCAGGGUGACGUUGCAGGGGUUAUGGUCGGCUCUCUGUGAGCUCAACGUUUAGAUUUGCUCUGCAUGGUUUGUACCCAGAAUAAUCUAGAUAAUUGUCAAAUGUAGACACGGUUUUGUAUUGAAUGGUUGCAGGAUUUUAGGUUUAAAGUUGUUGUGGGACGUACAUGGUAGUUUGGUUCUUCGUAUGGUUUCGAGUGAUAUAAUUUGUACACACUGGGUGCAUAAUAAUGUAAAGGUACACUGAAUAGUAUUAAUGACCAACAGCAACAAAUGGAUCUCCUCAAGGUAAGUCUGUUGGCUGUGUUUUAAUGAAGACCAUCGCUGGACUUCAGGAUCUUCCGCCGUUCAGCUCAAGGUGAGGCGCUGGUUCUGUUUUUUCUUUGGUUGGUUCCGGCCGGAAUGUUCGGAUUCCAGUCGGACGGUUUGUGCUUCCCGCCGUGGAAGGUUCUGAGUGCGGUCAUUUGAUUUAGUCCCAAUGGUUAGCAUAGAACGUUGUAGUCUUGACAACCAUAAGAAACCACCUGGCAGUUAGAUGGACGGGAGUCCCCAGAGGGAAUCUGGCGGAACGUUCCGGAUUGUAUUUGCGUAACCUCGAGCCGUUGCCAAUGGAAAUUAUUUUUCAAUCGGUUUCCAUUGGGAAUUGUUGCCCCCUAUCUUAAACAACUUAAGUUUGAUAUUAAAUACAUACUGACACGUACGUCAUACAAUAUGUUGAUCAUUUCCGAUGGUUGCGCCGUACUUUUAACCACGUUGACGGGACUCGCGCUGCGUACAAUAGGCCGUUCUACUUGCGGCCCCAUUUUUGACAUCGGUGAAGGCUGAAAAUCAUUUCAAGGUGGAAGACAAUUUAACAUUUCUUCAACGGAACACAGCACCUGAAUAUGGCUGAGUAAAUUUGAUUUAAUAUCGAUACUGUUUAGUGUUCAUUGUUACUUCAGCUUUAGUACGUCAUUAAAUGCCACAGAAGUUAAACCCUACCCAAUGGAAUGCCGUUAAACAACGACGUUGGUGCAGAGUUAGCAACUGGAUAAUAUCAAAGCUAAAAUAAUGGCCGUCAUUCCCACAUGUUGCAUUAGAAGAUACUCUAGAAAUGUACAAGGUUAAAAAGGUAAAAUGUAGUUUGUCCCAAGGUGUCUGCCUCCUAACCCAGAGCAAGACCUCCACCUCCUCACCCAGAGCCAGACCUCCACCUCCUGUCAGAAGUCCUCCAGAACAGACCAGGACUCUGUCUGAGGAGAGCUGCUGGAGGAGCUGAGACGCUGGAGGACGACUAGGAAUCGACCAACAAGGAUUCCUCAUAAAACGUGUUUCUGGAGCGGAGGCGAGCUGGUAGGGGAGCUGUGAAUCUGGAGGAUGACCAUCACUCUACCAACAAGGAUUACUUUAGGGCCAGACUCGCGCUGUUUGUUCCAGACCAGGACUGGCUGAGGAGAGCUGAUGGAGGAGCCAAGACAUUGGAGGACGACAUCACUCCAACCAGGAUCCUCAUACACCUGAGCUGAACCUCACCUGAUCCUGUUUGGUCGGGGGUAGACACACCUGAGCUAAACCCGCCCUGAUCCUGACAUCCUGCUGGUCCCGUCUCCUCAGUUCAUCUGAGCCUCGUCCUCCAGAAGACCUGCUGAGCUCAGCAGUCUGAGGCUGAUGGAUCACUGACCUCCAGUGGGAGUGAUCUUCUUGACCCCACAUGUAACCGUGUGCUUCCACACGCCUUUCCCUCACGUCUGUCACUAACCUCACUACUUCACUACUCUCUACUGCUUCCUCUUCCUUCUCUGUGGUUCGAACCUUUACACUGGAGGCGCGUCUCCAUGCCCUCAGAGGGUUCAGCGUUAGGGUUGAGAGUCAGGGUUUAGAGUCAGGGACAGAGCUGGUCAGGGAGGACUGCUUUUACACAAACCUCUUCAUUUGCUUUCGGAAUGGUGGUGACAAUUUUUAAAAGAUUCAUUUGGGAAAAUGUUUUCCUCUGCUUCCUUUACAAAAUUGUAUUCAACUUCUGUCAAGUGUUUUUGUUUAUAUAUUAAAAUCCCACAUUG